GAUGAACGCUGGCGGCGUGCCUAAUACAUGCAAGUCGAGCGAACAGACGAGGAGCUUGCUCCUCUGACGUUAGCGGCGGACGGGUGAGUAACACGUGGAUAACCUACCUAUAAGACUGGGAUAACUUCGGGAAACCGGAGCUAAUACCGGAUAAUAUAUUGAACCGCAUGGUUCAAUAGUGAAAGACGGUUUUGCUGUCACUUAUAGAUGGAUCCGCGCCGCAUUAGCUAGUUGGUAAGGUAACGGCUUACCAAGGCAACGAUGCGUAGCCGACCUGAGAGGGUGGUCGGCCACCCUGGAAGUGAGACACGGCCCAGACUCCUACGGGAGGAAGCAGUAGGGAAUCUUCCGCAAUGGGCGAAAGCCUGACGGAGCAACGCCGCGUGAGUGAUGAAGGUCUUCGGAUCGUAAAACUCUGUUAUUAGGGAAGAACAAAUGUGUAAGUAACUAUGCACGUCUUGACGGUACCUAAUCAGAAAGCCACGGCUAACUACGUG
rnacentral:rRNA from 1 species